UAGUUUCCUCUAAGGUUUUAAA
rnacentral:miRNA from 1 species